rnacentral:rRNA from 1 species
GGUUAAGCGACUAAGCGUACACGGUGGAUGCCCUGGCAGUCAGAGGCGAUGAAGGACGUGCUAAUCUGCGAUAAGCGUCGGUAAGGUGAUAUGAACCGUUAUAACCGGCGAUUUCCGAAUGGGGAAACCCAGUGUGUUUCGACACACUAUCAUUAACUGAAUCCAUAGGUUAAUGAGGCGAACCGGGGGAACUGAAACAUCUAAGUACCCCGAGGAAAAGAAAUCAACCGAGAUUCCCCCAGUAGCGGCGAGCGAACGGGGAGGAGCCCAGAGCCUGAAUCAGUGUGUGUGUUAGUGGAAGCGUCUGGAAAGGCGCGCGAUACAGGGUGACAGCCCCGUACACAAAAAUGCACAUGCUGUGAGCUCGAUGAGUAGGGCGGGACACGUGGUAUCCUGUCUGA